rnacentral:lncRNA from 1 species
UUUAAUAUUUUCUUACAGCAAGUGUAAAAUUUUAUCGCAUAAAUCAAUCCUAUUUUUUAAUAGUCAAUAUAAAAAAAUUAAAAUUUUAUUUAAUAAAUAUCAACAUCUUUUUUUUAUUUUUUUCUACAUUAAGUAUAAAAUUUUAUUGCAUGGAGAAAUUCUAUUUUUUAAUAGUCAAGAUAACAAAAUUAAAAUUUCAUCUAAUUAGGAAUCCAAAAAAGAUCUCCCCUUAUUUUAGAGGUUUGUGUGGCCCACAAUUUUUUUUAGGAUUUUUUUUAGGAUUAAUUGUAUAAUGUUUCCCAAACUUUCCACCAUUUUUUUUCCUAAAUUUUUUCAAACCUCUUAAUUUUAUCGCGAUAAAAUAGCAACCGUUAAAAAAUAUUUUAGAAUUAACGAAAUUAUAAUGUCAUCGUCUAUUUAACUUUUUUUUGCAUGCCAAUCUUGGUCCCUAAAUUUUUGCAUACUUUUUACUUUAGUCCCCAAAACAUAUAUGAACAACACUAAAAAAUGCCUCUCCUUAUUUUGGAGGGUUGUGGGAUCCACACAAUUUUUUUAAGGAUUAAUUUAUAUAAGAUUUAAAUAUUUUUAGAAAGAAAUCUACUUUAAUUUUUUCUUUAUUUUUUAUUAUUUAAUACUGAGAUAAAUAAUAUUUAAAAAUAUUAAUAUAUAAUAAAAAAAUAAUAUUAAUAAUUAUAAUAAUUUAUUAUUAUAUUAUU